CACUGAGUGCUGUCUGUGUGUCAUUUGCAGGAGCUUGGGAUGCUGUGGUGACUUGCUUCUUCCUUGACACUGCUCAUAACAUUGUACAAUACAUUGAUAUCAUUUCAAGAAUUCUCAAGGACGGGGGAGUCUGGAUAAAUUGGGUCCCUUACUUUAUCACUUUGCAGACAUGUACGGUCAAGAAGAUGAAAUGUCUGUUGAACUAAGUUUGGAAGAUGUGAAAAAGGUUGCUCUUCAUUAUGGAUUUGAAUUUGAGCAAUCCUCAACCAUUGAGACAACAUAUACAACAAAUCCUCGUUCUAUGAUGCAAAACCAAUAUCAUGCUGCAUUUUGGAGUAUGCGGAAGAGGAUGAAGAAUGUCUAGCAUAAGUCUGUCUACUUAAAUUAAAGGCUAGACAAAGAGUUUGGAGACUGUCUUUGGCUAUUUCCUGGUCCGUUUUGUUUGCCUAAUCCUGUUAAUCUUAUUAUUGUUCUGUUAUAGCAGAAAGUGGAUUACAGUAGUAUGUGGAUUGAAAUGCUAAACUUGUGCGAGUGAGUGUAAUAUCAUGGAAAUGUAUAUUGGUUCGCCCGUGUAAACUAAACAAGGAUCCGUGUUUCAUAACUGUUGAUGUACUUCUAGUAAUGUUAAAGCAGAUUUGUGAUUUUCUACUUU